UGAACGCUGGCGGCGUGCCUAACACAUGCAAGUCGAACGAAGCUUGACGGAUGAUUCUUCGGAAUGAAACCAGAUAUGACUUAGUGGCGGACGGGUGAGUAACACGUGAGCAACCUGCCUUUCAGAGGGGGGAUAACGGCUGGAAACGGCUGCUAAUACCGCAUAAGCGCACAGUACCGCAUGGUACAGUGUGAAAAAACUCCGGUGGUGUGAGAUGGACCCGCGUCUGAUUAGCUAGUUGGCAGGGCAACGGCCUACCAAGGCGACGAUCAGUAGCCGACCUGAGAGGGUGACCGGCCACAUUGGGACUGAGACACGGCCCAAACUCCUACGGGAGGCAGCAGUGGGGAAUAUUGCACAAUGGGGGAAACCCUGAUGCAGCGACGCCGCGUGAGCGAAGAAGUAUUUCGGUAUGUAAAGCUCUAUCAGCAGGGAAGAAGAAAUGACGGUACCUGACUAAGAAGCACCGGCUAAAUACGUG
rnacentral:rRNA from 1 species